CCCGCGCCGGCCGGGCCUGCUUCCGCCGCGGCGGCCUCGCCGCGCGCCUCGAGCCCUAGUUUCUUUCUCUCCGCGUACUUUUUCUGCGUCUUCUGCCGGGGGGGAGGCGGGGGCGAGGCGCCCAAAGCCAUUUUAACUCGCGGCUGCCUCCCUCGGAGGCUGGGGAGCGCGCGGCGCCCGACUGCGCGGCCCGGGCCCCGGGGGCCUGGGGGAAGAGGGUCUCGCCGAGGGCCGGGACGCGCGCUGCGAUGGCCGGCCGCCUAGCACCCCCGCCUCGCCACCCCACCCCGGGCGCGGAGCCGCGCGUCCGGAGCCGGGGACCGCGCGGCGAGGCAGCGGCGUGGGCGCCGGGGACGGCUCGGGCGGCUUUUGUAACAAAAUAGGCGCUCCCGGCCGGUACGGUGCGGGGAGGAAUAUUGACCCCGUCUUCUCGGUUAGCGCCAACAAUAAGCUUUAACUGGGAAAAGAAUGAGGAACUUUGUCCUACCUCCAGCCACACCGCGUUCCCUCUUAGCCUGCAAGGUGAAGGCAGGAAAAAUAGGUUAGCUUUGUGGCAAACCCAGUGUGUUUUUCGUAGUUCUGCCCGGCCAUUCAGAGAUACUCGAUGCGAGCUUUGAGUUUGGAUGUUUCGUAGCAAAAAGAAUGCCCCAAUUUACAACGACGUGGAGGUAAAAUAUUCUAAAAUAAAUCGAUUCCUUCCUGAGAAUAGCCAGGAAAUCCAUUAUUUGGCUUAUAGGCUGCUGGAAAGGAGUCACCUUCAACAGAUAGGCUACGUUAAAGGGACACAUCCCGGUUAAGUUGAACUUAUUCUGAUCAUGGAACAGGCAUACAUUUUAUUCAGCAAGUCCAGGAAAAUAGCAGGCCAGUGAAAAUUGAUCUUUUUGGAUCAGAUUUAUUUGGAUUUUUUUUAAUUUGCUGUCCCCCAAGUCCUACGGCGUUAUUAGGAAGUGUCCUGCACUCUUGCUGUUUCUUGCUCGUAGGCUGAGCCUAAAGACUGACUUGAUCUCCUUUGCAAGGUUUGGAAUUUGAAUUGUGGAGGUAAACUGGCUGUAAUAGUCUCCAGACAGCUGCCUCUGAGUUGACAUCUAAUCUGCCAUCUGAUUGGCUCCCCUCUCACCAUUGGGCAUUUAGCACUGCUGAUGUAAAUAGAAGUGCUGAGCAGUACAGUCACAAAAAUUCUUGCCACAAAUAAUAACUGAGCUCUAUUACAAGCAGAUGUAAGGUUGAAUAUUAUUUAAAGCUUAAGUUAUUAUGAAUCAUAGUUAUUAAUAAGAGGAUUAAAUCCUGAAAACAUUAUGCUGGUGUCCAGUAUUGGGCAUUUACAAAAAUCAGAUCUUUGACAGUCUUAAUGUGGACACUGCAUAUAUCACGGACUUGAAUUGUAGUAUGAAGAUGUGGCAAUUGAAAUGUAAUGAAGCCAAAAAUUUUAGCAAUUUCUGGAUUUGCAAAGCGUUUAUUGAAGUGCCCUUUCCAGAUUAAACUGUGGGGGAAAAAUGUGAAUUGUCAGCACACGUAGUUUAGUGUAAAAUUAAAAAUGAUAACUUAACAUUUCAAGAUCCUGAUAUGCAGCGGUCUCUUUUAGGGAUAUCGAUUAGCUUUAUAACAAGAUUAAAGCUGUAUUUCUAGUAAUUUAUGUUGUAACGGUGCUGAUCAUUUAAAAUGUGGAUAAGGAGUUUCCAUUGAAUUGACAUAAGCAUGAAGUGAGGAAACUAUAAUUUUGUACACAAGAAUUAAUCAAAGGGGAAACAUGGAUAAUCUUGUGAAAUACUGAAAAUUAUUUCAUUAUUUUCUGCUUGAUUAUUUUGUUGGGUUCGGUGGUGUGACCCUUAUUUGAAGUGCUUACACAUGUAUUAGGGAAACUGUCUCAUGCAAGCUGUUCUGGGUGUGUUUCUUCCAAAUAAUCUUUCUUUUGUAGACAUCUUAAAUGCUGUGAAAGUUUUUAAAAUCCUCAUUUGUUAGGAAGGAAUAACAGCGGUUGUAAUCUACUUAGCUUAUUUAUUUUAGGAAGGCGUAUUUUAAUAACAGUCAUAUCUUAGGGGAGAGACUCAUCAGAGUGAACACAGGACUGAAUUUAACAGAUAAUCCUGUGAAUCCCUGGCCGAGGACAUUAGUGUCCACUGGCUUUCAAAUCUUUGGUUACUGGAGUUUAACUUUUAAUGAGAAUGUAUUUUCCUGCUCUUGAUAGAAAAUUUGUGACUAUCAAUUUUCAUUUUUGAUGCACACAAGUGAAAACACAGAGGAGGCUCGUGUAACUAAACCCACGUAAUUAAUUUUAAAAAGAUUUGCUUUGUCAGCUUGCUUUUAAAGGGAUAGUUUAAAAUUCCCAUCUUGGUAAACUAGAACGGAGAGAUGAUGGAGGCAGAUGUAGGUCCUUGUUACUUUAAAGUAUUAUUUCUUAAUGGUACCAAUCAUUUUAAGUAUUUUGUUUUCUUGGAAUGAGAGUGAAUCCAUUAUGUCCUCGGUGUGACCCUUGGGAAUAGCUUUUUUAUUUUUGAGGGGCGAGGAAACUGCUGGGCAUAUGACCUAGAUUCACAGAUUUCUCUUAGGUACUUUGCCGUGUAAUGUGUGGAAUGUGUCUUUUUUAUGUAUUUUCUUUUUGGGAGGCUAGUAUUUAUUUAGUAUUUGUUGCGAUCAUUAUAUUAAGUCAUAGUUAUUUGUCCAAAAUAUUGAAUCACUAUGUCACUAUAGGCCAUAAAGUACUAUUAAAUCACGUUGUUAAAUGAUGAAAUUUUCUUGUGGCUUUAGCACAUUUAGUUUCAUUUUUGAUUUUAGGAAUUGUUUAUAUUGGGCAGCAAAUGUUUUUAUAAUUGGGAACAAAAUAUAUCUGUAUAUUGUAUUGGGAAGGUCUUUUUAAAAAGUGAAAUAAGCCAUUUUAUGAUACAGUUUGUUGCUGGGUUUUUUUGUGAGAUAAAGUAUUUCGAUAGAGCAGUUCAAAAGGAGUACUGAGGUCUGCUCCUGUAAGUAAUAUUUUAUAAUGUCCACAUCUGUGCCAAAUUCCAUUAAUGCUAUUUUAACUUCAGUUUAACAGAAUAUAACACAACGUAAUAAAAAGAGCCUUAUUUAUCAUUCAAAGAAGUGACUAGCUGGCUUACAAAGCAGGAAGUUACAGACUGGUUCCUGAUGACCUUAAAAUUUGUAUAAGAUACAUUAUAGCAUAACAUCAUUCCUCACUUCCCCUCCCAGUGAUAUUUUACCCUAUCUGAUGUUUUAAACCUUGUAAAGAAAUUGUUGUGCCCUGAAUUAAUAUAUUUGCUGAGAUAUGGCUGGCUGGCUGGCUGCUGUGUCGUCAGAGAAUGUGGAAUUGGCAGCUGUGGUUCAUAGAAAAGGCCUAGCAUUUAAAAAACCAAAACAAAAUACAUAGAAAAUAUUUACAGUUUUCUGUUUUCCUAGGUUACCUGGGAGGAAAGGGUGCGUGGUUUAAAAUUGUUUUCUUUGGAUAUCCUGAUUUCUGUGUGCUUAGUUUUGACCAUUUUAUUUUGAUGAUAAGUACUCUUUAAGGCAGCUGUCACUUAAAUUUACGUUUAUAUUAACAUAAAAUUGAUAAGUAUGUUCUAGGGAGCACCGUAUUCUUGUCUUGGCUCUAUAAUGAGAAGCCUUAACUCCCGUUUUCACUUUGGUUGUGCUUUUUAUCUGUAUUUCGGAAUCAAUCUUUGGCAGGGUUUUUCUGCUUGUUCCAUUUUCCCCGGCAUCAUAUUGUAUCAGAAUAUCACAAGCGUGUUGUAGAGAUGGAAAUAAUCCACAUCACUCUUAGACACUUAAACUAAUGUACCUUCCCUCUAAAUAUCAUGCUAUUCCAUUAGAAUUGAGAGAAUAACAUCUUCAUGCUGGUAUCAAAAUAGUAUUAAUUCUGGUUUGAGGACCAAUUUUGAAAAUGUAAGACAGUGUAGAGGAAGGCUCAUAAAUUCAUUUGGUAGUUUUAUUAGACACACGUUUUAAAGAAAACAGGUGUAAGAGAAUGGGGUUGAGUUUUCAGUUCUAUUUCUUAUUAAUGGACUUUGUUACUUUAUAUUUUGGGGCAGAGUACAUCUAAAAAAGAAAAUGGCUUCUGAUGUAAUAGGAACUUACUUACUUCCAUAGGAUAAAUACCUAUGUGACAGGCAAACUGAAAAGAUGAUCAUUUCACUUAUUUAACUCUUGUUCUCUCCUAGGAUGAGAGUGGUUCGAUUUAAAAUUUGUUGGGGUCUCUGAAAUUUUGCUACUUAUUUUGAAGACUGAUUUGGACAUGUAAAUUUUGGAUGUAUUGCACUGGGGACUGACUAUAUUAGCUUUUCGCCCAGCGUCCUAAAUUUAGAGGUUUUUCUCACUAUGCUAGACUGACACUGCUCAGUUAAUGGAUCUGUGUACCUUGAUCCAUCAUUGAGGAAAAGGAACUAAUAACUCACUUGUGUCACUUUCAUUUUGGCCUGUGUGUAGUUUUGGAAGUUUGAAGCUUAUAUUUACAUUUGAAAGAACUGUCAUGUAUCACUUAAACCAACAGAUUUAUGGAGGCUCAAAAGGAAUGUUAAUAAAACUCGAAUUCCUUUAAUUUUUUUAUUGCAAUAAUUAGAUUUUCAAAGUGGAUGUUACAAAAUUUUUAUGACAUUUUCUAAUGCUGUUUAUGCUUACGGGCCACUUGCACAUGCUAGGCCUUUUUAGAAUCGGAUACUUGUUGGUCACAGGGUUUUCCUGAGGUGCCCUUUCUUCAUCAGGAUAUUUGUGCAGAUUCUCUGUGGAUAUGUGAAGGAGCACACUUGGCUGUGUGUGUGUAUGGGAGGCUGAGGGUUCUCUAUUUGACUUCUCCAUGUGUGUGUGUGUGUGUGUGUGUGUGUGUGUGUGUGUGUGUGUGUGUAGGGAGGGGGAGAAGUACUGGGCACAACUGCUUACCCACUGAGGAUGCGCAUAUAUCACAGAUGUACAACUAUCAAACGAUACUGCUUUUACGGUUCGGAGGCUAUUUAUACAAGAUUAAGUGGCUCUUUUUGGUUUAAUUGGAUGAUUGAAUGAUAACUUUGAUCUAAAAACUUGGUAUACGUUGGUGACUUUUUCCCCUGAGAAUUUUGGUGAAAAGAAAAUGAUAGAGGUAUCGGUACCCAGGUGCCAUUAAGUACACGCUUAUUUUGCCUUACGCUAACACUGGAAUGAAUGGAGUUGUUGCCACGUGCAUACUGUAGUUUUAACUUAACAAUUCACACUAAUUGAGUGAGCGAGUGGAUUUAUCAAACUAAAAUGUGUGUCUCCGCAGUAAGUUUUCAGCAAACAUGUUCUAUUUUCAAAGGCUUUAACUUGGAAUAAUUCUGAGAAAACUAUUUCCUUAGAUUUACGUAUUUGAAUAGGAUCCAAUAGACAGUUUUCAAAAGCCCACUUCUGAAUGGAUCAGUGCCAAGAAUACUAGAAGGCCACUGAGUUUGACAGAUGAACUAAUGAUGAAAUUAGUUUGUUUCUUGGAUGAUGCUUAUUGGUAGGAAAGAGACCAGAGCUCUAAGAUCUUCAGCACAUCCGGUUUACCAAUAGACACUCUUAUUUUAGGUAGGUGGCAGUAGAAUCUGGAACAGAUCUGUCAUAGCAAGACCGACCUUUUGAAUUGAAGUAGAUUUGGCCUCUGCUCACCAUCUUUUGUAGGAUGCACUUCUCAGGGUCUCAUUUGGGCCUUGAUGAAAGAUGAAACUUGAGACUCAGACAAGUCGUUACUUAUUAGGUGACCCUGGAAGGGAAGCCAUAUUUGAUGAAAACCGGAAGAAAAUCCUGGACCACGCUUUGAAAACUAUGGGUUGCUAAAAAAAUUAUAUCUACGUAUUUUUUUUAUUGCGGUAAAAUAACACAGAACAUAAAAUUUACCGUUUUACUCAUUUUUAGGUGUGCAGUUCAGUGACAUUAAGUACGCUCACAUUGUUGUGGACCACCAUCUGAUUUCCAGAACUUUUCGUCUUCCCAAACGGAAAUAAAAAAGUACAUUUUUUCCUUCCCUUCCUUCAUGUCAGACUUUCAAAUGGUUAGUUAUAAUGUGUAUUAUAAGGAAAAUAAUCUUUUCAUGGCCAUUAAUCUUGCUGCUUUGUAGUUGAUUAGUAAAUCCUUCCUCACAUGUUCCUUAGCAGUGCUCAUGGUGUGUGUGUGCGUGUGUGUGUGUGUGUGUGUGUGUGUGUGUGUGUUCGUUCCACUACUUCUGCCCAGCUCUGACUUCGGGGUGAUCUUCCCAGGUUUUGUCUGUUCCGAAGUGUGUAAGUGUGUCCUAUGUGGGUUCGUUGUUUCAUUGUCAGGUCAUUAAAAGUUUAAAAGCAGCUUUUUGAAGCCUUUCUGUUGAAAGGUUUGGGAUACUUUGUUGAGAGAAGCCUGGUACUUGGUUAGAUGAUAGGAUGUGGAAAUGAACUGUUAGCAUGAUCAUUUUUCCCUUUACUUCUCUUAUCUUUUGCAUGUUUAGCUUCUUUUUUAAAUUACUUGUUAUAUCCUUCUAUCGGUGAAAGUCAUUUACAAUGGUCAUUUUUUUUCCAGUUGUGUUUUAGGUUUUGGGCCAUCCCAGUCCCCCCCUAGCCUGAGCAAACAGCCAGUCCGUGUGAUGCUGGGUCUUUUUUCAUAGUGUUCUGUGCCCCCAAGUUUGUGCUUCCCCCCUUAUGUUUUUAAUUUGUAGUCCUUUGUAAAGCUGCAGAAAUUCUUUGUGUGUGGAAAAAUUCCUAAAUUAAGAUGAUUGGUCUUUUAAUUAAAUUUAAGAGGCAGCUGCAAAGGGUUGCUUCUUGAAUCCUGGUUAGUCUUCAGAAGAGGCUUUUUCGUGUGUAAAAUUUGGAAUUGUAUUUUCGCUGCCAUUGAUGCUGAUAUGUAGUCACAUCUUUAGCCGAUCAGUUGUGUAUAUUAACCGUGGAUUCCACAGAGGACAUAGAGAGUGAACUGUGAUUUAAGAGUGUGUGCUUGGAAGCAACAAUUUUUUAAGGUGUAAACAUUUAGCAUUUGUGCAUGCUGUGACGUGUGUGGCGGACAAGUAUCUACUCCAGAUGAUCGGUUGGCAAAUAUUUAUUAAGCACCCGUUUUCCUAAUCAGCCCAGUGCCGGACGGUAGCUAGGGUCUGGGGAUUGCUCUUGCUUCUGUGUGCAGUUCAGAGAGACAGCGUGCCAAAGCCUCUCCCCACUGAACCUGGGCAUGGCAUUUUUGGCAUCGUUGACUUAGAACUGGCUCAUUUAAACAGAAUGCAAAUAGCAACCAUGUGGGUCAGCAGUCUGUUGGCCAGCUUUUUUUGGGUGGGGGAGUGGAUUUUGGCAAAACAAAUAAUUGUAGAUUGUUGUGAUAUAGUUGAUGUGAGCUAGUGACUCUUUUCCAUUUCUACCAAUCAAUUACUGGCUUUGUGCCGGAACAAAAUAAAGAUCCCGCUACAAAGAAUAAUAACUAAGAGAAGGAAAAUAUAAUCAGUUCGAAAUUUGUAUAGAAUGGUCCUUUUUCUUUUUCUCAGUUUUCUACAUUACAUAGGCUCUUGGAAAAAAGUUAAAACAGUCUGCUCAGAUUUAGGAAGAUACUUGGAUUGCUGGAGUAUUUUUGGUAACUGUUUAGAUAAUGUAUGCUGGCUGAGGAGUAAAUUCAGCUACUGCUUCUGGGUCCUGAAAUAAACCUUUCAGAAAGCGAGGCAUUGAUGAUUAGUGGAGGCUGUUCCAGAAUUCUUAGUAUCUCCUGUUUCUUUUUGUGAUGAGCAUCUUAGAAGUUAAACCACUCACCGCACUUCGUAACCUUAUUUUGAAAUGACUGGUAAUUUUAAAAUUUGUCUAGAGUUUGGCAUCUAAUUUAUGAAAACUUAAGAAGCAAAUUUGAAGUUUCCGUGACCAUAUAUUUAUAUAUAUCAAGCUGUAACCCCAUUCUAAUAUCCUUUAAAUUUUCUGCUUUCAGCUCAUAUUUUUUUAUAAUAAAUUCACUUUACCCAAUGAAUUAUAAAUGACCUUGGAAAUAGAAACGUAAAACAUUGCUACUGCUGAGCAUGAGUCUGUCUGAAGAAGCAGACAUAUUUCUAAGGGAACUGGUAUGUUUGUUGUAUAUUAGUUUAUUUCUGUCAUUAUGAGGAUUUAUGAGAGAAUGCGAAUAUAUUACGAGGCAUCCUGAUGUAAUGGAAAGAUCUUGGGCUUGGAGUUGGUCAGACUUUGAUUCAUUUGUAGGCUUGAGUGCCCAUUUUCUCUGAGAUAUGGCAGAGGCUCAGUUUCCUGAUGUGGAAUGUUGGCUGCUGGGCGGGGCCGCCGCUGAGGUCAUCUCUGUAAAUCGGUGGCAUUGUUCCGUGGUGUCUCUUUUCUUCCCACCUGCCUUCCCACUGUGUAGUGAGCCCUGAGUUCUUGUUCUCUGCCUGGCCCUGAUGCGGUUCAGGGGUGUGGUCGCAGAGAAGCCCCUGCCUCCAUCAAUUAGGUGACCCCAGUCCCUCCCAGCUGCAAAAUUCUCUGCUGCUCUGAAUUUUAAAAAAUAUGGUGCCUAAUCAGCAAUGCACCACUGAACAUCUUAUUAAACUAUACUGGGUCCCAGACAUGUUCAGUGAAUAUAAACUGAGGUCUAUGCAAAUAUACAGAUUUUGUGAAUACCACGGCAAUUUCCCUCACAAAAUGUAGUUUUGUACUGAUUGGGACUCUUGUGAACAAUUGGAUGAAUUGGUUUUGGUUGAUCAAUAGAACUGUGAUGGAUUGGCGUCAUUGGAUCUCAGGUGCUGCCUCACAGUAUUCCGUCGUUAAUGUUAAUUAGUAGAUUCUGAGAAUUAUUCCUAUCUUCUAGGUCUUUGUCCUUUCCACUUUCAUGAUCUAUGAAAUUGACUAGCUUUUUUAGGGGAAGUGCUUUCUGCAAAGGAACAAAGUUUCAAAAAAUUAAAACUAGGCUUUUUUGCAAUUCUGAAUGGUGGACUUUGGUCUCUGAUUCAUGCUUAAGUAACUUACUUCUGUAUCUGUUUCAAUUUUACUGACUCUGUGGUUCACAUUUGGUCCUUAGCAAGAUUAUCAUUUACUCUACGUAUCACCAAGGGUGGUGCUGCUCUCAGUCAAAGUAGGGAAUGUCAAAGCUGAGAAUGAAUGCCAAGGGCCUGCCUUGGAUAUGUAGAGAGGAAUGGUUUCUCUUCUUUCUUUCUUUCUUUCUUUCUUUCUUUUCUUUUCUUUUCUUUCUUUCUUUCUUUCUUUCUUUCUUUCUUUCUUUCUUCUGUUAAUGCUGAGAUUUAUAAAAGUAUCAGGGACAAACUUUAAUUCUAUUAUGAACAAAUCUUACUGAGCACCACUUGGUGCUUAAGAUACAAAGAGUAAAUAUAACGUAUAAUCCAUAAUUUUCCCUGGUGAAUUGUCAUGGACUCCUGGUGUUUUACAAAGUGGAAAUUAAAAUGAAUGGCUACAUUAUUCUUCUGCAGAAAGACUAUAUCCCUCAAAGUGCAUCAUCUAAGAACUAUUUGAAUAGUUGAUAAUGUAUCCAAACUGAAAAUUUCCUGAUGCGUGUAUUAUACAUUUCCAACAUCCGUUGCAAGAAAAUCUGUUCAGUUACUGCUUCAGGGUUUUAUGUGGAAGGUCAGUAUACUUGGAGUUUGUUCUUAGGUGCUGUGAUAUUGAUGAGAAAGCGAUCUUAAUUUGGGUUUUUGUUUGGGCAUCAUAAGGUGAAUUUUCAGCUAAAGAGAUGGCUUUAUAGUGUCAUUAGCAUGAAGGAUUUAGAAAUCAGUUCAUUUACCUUCACCGUAUUGAACAAUCUCCUGUGUGUCGUCAGGGCUUUGGGACUAGAGAUUUGUGUCAUCAUAGCAAGAACCAGGGUAUCGGGCAGAUGUUUGUGGACGACCUCGUAUGUGUGCCUGGUACUGUACUGGAUGGUGGACCUUGGUAAAAUGACAAUGCAGGGCCUAAGGACCAGUAACCGUGCUACACAAUACAGUGUAAAUGGUUUGGUGGGAGAAGUCUUGAUGUUAGUGUCUCAUCUCACACAGACUAGACUGGGGUCGGGGUAGGGGUAAGAAGGCGCUGCGCCAAAUAAAGUCUAAUAAGCUGAGAGCUGGUCAGCGAGAAGUUACAUUAGUGAAGAGGCUUGGGAAUGGAAGCAGGAGGGGCGAGGGCAAGAGCCAAAGGUGUGCAGGUUAGAGAACCUGCAAGAUUGGACAUUCACCACCUGUGUGACCUUGGGCUAGCCUCUUUACUCCCUGAUGUUUGAAGUUCCCUCUGGUCUAAGGAGAUGGGAAGGAAGACUUAACCCAUGGAAUUGUUUGCAGAAGGACACUUGAUAAAUUUCUGGUACACUGCCUGGCAAGGAAGGGGAUGCUUUCAAAAAGUAACAAAGGAUUGUAUGUUCUCAUGGAUAAGGAAUUAAAAUGAGUUAGAUGUGGUUCGGUAUUAGUUAAUUUGACAAGUUAAUUUAACAGCCUGUUAGUCUUUCCUCUCGGAACAAGUAGGUUAGCAUUUGAAGCCUAUUUCUAAUCCAGACAGUUCGUUUUUUAUUGCCUCAUGUGUCUGUCCCUUGCCAUGUGUUUGGGAAGAGUGAGUGCUGGGGCAGUCGAUCACAUUUCCAAAAUGUCUGCUGUAGUUUUCCAGUCUUUUCUUCAGUCCUGGUUUUUUAACUGGUAAGGAAAAAUAAAUUCAGAAGAUCGAUAAUUGGAGCAUUUAAUUUCACCAUCAUCAACAAAUAUUUAGUGACCUUGGUGUCGGGACACUGUACCAGAUGAAAAGAUAUCCGGGGAAUAUUGAAAAAUUGUUAAACAUCGUGGUGCUCGUUGGUUAGCGUAGAAGAACAUGCGUAGGAUAUCCUUAGGUUAUAAAGUGAAUAUUGGUGAUUAAAAUAAAGAAGACGGUUUGUGGAAUGUUUUCAUCUUACUUCCUAUCCCAUGUAAUUAGAACUAUGGAUUGAAUAACUCAGGCCUCAUAAGCAGUGUAAAUUUUGAAUGGAAGGAAAUUGGUGGUAGGCAGACAGCUUGCAGAUUGGUGAGAUGGAUCUUUUGCUUUUAAUUAAUUUUCUCCAUGUGCUAAAGAAAUAGUUUAUUAUUGUUAACUGUUGAAAAGUUUAAAAAAUUAUAGUUCCAUUUGUUAUGAUUUUGCUGGGUUUGAAAGUCUUCCCUUUCCCGACUGUUGGUGCCAGCUCCCUUUCAGUUUCAUUUGGCUGAGUAGAGAGAACACUCCAGAAGGUGCCAUGCUACAGCAGGCAGAGGCGUGCCUUGUGAAGGUCUCGGUUUCUCCCCUGCUGUCCAUUAUGUGGGGCGAGACUUUGUUUUUCCUCCUCCAUUGAGACAUUUGUCAGAAGUAUGAACACUUUAAAACAGUAAUGUUUUACUUUUAUUCAGCAAUUAAUUAGUGAAGAUAGGAUGUGAAAAACAAUUUUGUGUUUUGUCUUUUAUUGUGCAUUAAGUUCCUGUAGUUUUCCGUAUUGCUGUAUUAUUAAUGAGGAGGGAGAGAAGAAUGGAGGGAGAAGGUGAAUUUUAUUUAAGACAGUUAUAUUCGGGUAACUCAAGGGAAUGUGCUUUUUUAGUCUAACUACCCUUUCCUGGUGUUUCAUGGUUCUUUGAAAAACUAAUGUAAAGAAGUUGUAAUCAGCUUUUAAGAUUAUUUGCGCCAACUGGUUGUUAAUAUGUGGACGUUUUAUUCUUGGUGCGUCUAAAAAAUUCAUAUGAAUGUAUUUUAUGAAGAGGAAGGUGUACUAGCAUGGCUAAACUGGGGAGGCGGAAAUCUCGGUUUGAUUUGCACGCGUGGUAUUUUUUAGGGACGCGCAGAGUUUCACACAUGAAAUAAACUAGGUAGUGUGUGCGGCAUCACAUGAUCAAAAUAUUUUUCCCCUUACCGCUGCCAGAAGCUAUCUAUUGCUUUUCAACAAUCUUACUUGUUGGGCAUCAUGCCAAGAUGUUUAAGACAACCCCUUACGUGAGCUGUUCCAUUCUUAACCUCUUUGACUGAAGUGCCGUGACCUUCACAUAUGUAGAUUAGCCAUGUGCUCUGUGAAUUGAAACUUGCUGCCUCAGGAAGAAAGGGUUUUUCUUUUUAUUCCACUGGGAAUUUGACAGCCAUUCAUCCCUGACCUGGGCAGAGGUAAUGCAAGGAAAUUGGAUUCAAAUGGAACGCGGACAGAUAACACAGGGAGGCAGACAAGCUUUCUACCUUGUCGAGGAUGAAAAUAUCCCGCGGUAUAGAUAAUGUGCUGAUGCAAAGGAUCUGAAAAGCAACAGAUACAGAGGGAGAUAGAUAGAUGUAGGCACUUUGGAACAAUGGCCUUUAAAAAAGGAAAUUGCCAUGAUGGGCCUUUCUAAUUAGUUUUGACUCUACUCUUUCUCUUCCUUUCUAACCUAAGUUUUUGAAGUCUUUUUCGAAUUUGUAAAAAUUUCUAAACCCUACUUGAGAAUUAAAUAAUACUAAUAUCGGGGGCGAGCGUGGGCUUAAAUAUGUUGAAGCUAGAUGAGUCUUUCAAAAGUGGAAGUCGUUAGAAAGUUGGAGAGAUGAAUGUGUCACCUGUAUCUAGAAGAAUCGGCAUGUUUCUUUGUCUCGACGCUCUAAAAUUUUGAAAUGAUACUUAAAGAGAUAGUUUUACUCACGUGAGAGUUCUUACUGAGUUUCGUCAUGAUUAAUAAAAAUAAGGAACAAAAAUAACUAAUGAAUUUUUGUAUUUUUAUUAGACAACCAGUUUUAAAGAAUGUUCACCUUUGCUUUGUUAGUAAACAUACUUGAAAUUAAAGUAAAAUUCGGUAUAAAUAAUAGUCAUGACACUUGAUUAGGUUGAUAUGACAGAGGAUUGCGAAGGAAAGUUCUCAUUAUAAGAAUAAUGGGUCUGAAGUGGUACUCCGACUGGUUUCUUAGCAAAAGGAGGGGAUGAUUAGGGCAGUCUGAAACUUAUGAGUGCUUUGGUAUGGCUUUCCGAGCCGAGCCUUCCCUGGGUACGUUAGGGCUUGUGAAAUAUUAUGGGUCAGAGGCUCGCCUACCGGCUCUGGGGGAGGUGUUGUUGAUAUCCAGCCCGUUCUAUGGGGUGCAGAAAAGGACGUCUGUAUGGGUAAUGUGCUUACUGGGUACAGUGGACUAAGAGGAACACAGUUAUCCCUUGACCUGAAGAAGCCUGGUUUCUUUCCAUAUGAGGACUAUUGAGAAAAAUAGGGACAAGUAUCUGGUCGUGAUCCUGCAGAGCACGGGGUCUUCCGUGGACUUCUGCUAACAUGCAGGCACGAGAGCGAUGGUCCACAGAUGGCAGGACUCGGGUCUUAACCAGCUUGUUUCUGUGCAGCUGCGAAGAUGGUGCAGCGGGGACGAUGAAUGCCAGGCUGGGGUCGUGGGGGGGGGGGGCCCACCGAGAACACAGAAACCGUGGGGACAGGUGCUGAGUGACCCUCCCAGGAGAGCGGGCGCCUGGGUGUGGACGGGACGAGCAGAAAAGAUGGUGGUGAGUCAGCAGCCACUCCUUGAGGGGUUUUCUUGUUUCCUUGUAAACAGUGGCCUGUAUGAGACUUUUAGGUGGGGACACGGGAAAUCUGUCUCUCCUUCUAGCCAGGUGUCAUUGGUAGAACUAUUACAAACACACUGCUUUCUGUUCUUCUCAAAGAAAUGCAGGUUCAGAGAAAAAGUUUUACAAGAGCCCUGGGUAAUAGUGAUACGAGAAAGCGGUAACAGUAAUAAUAGCUCCUGUUACUGAAUACUUACCUGUGUAAGUAUACUUACACACAUUGCACAUGUUGAUUGUAGGCUUUUCAACAGUCUUGCAAGGCAGUCUCCCCAUUUGUGAACAAGUAAACUCGUAGAAUUAAGAAAUUUGUUCAGUCUCCAGGGAUGUCCGGUGCUACAGCCUGUAUAUUCUCUCCACUAAAGGAGUGGCUCUGAAACCUGGCUGUGCAUCCGAAUCCCCCAGGGAGGCAGACAGGCGUCUAAGUUCUUCCUCCAGCAGUUCUGGUGUUCUCGGGUUGUGGAAUGGCCCGCAUGCCCACCCUUCUCUUCCCGCAGAGGUUAUUGACGGAAUUUAUUUAUUGGUAGAAUUUAAGUAGACUUUUUUUUUAUUGUUGUUAAGACAUGUGGCAUUACAUUCUCAUAAUUGAGCUUUGAAUGUAUUUUGGCCCCGUAGUCCUACUGGGCAAAGAGAAGAAAGAAUGUGUGCUUCAAGGCUGUGAAGGUGGCUAUUGGAUUUUUUCUGAUAAUAUUACUGGACAUUAAUGUACAUCCGCCUGUGAGAAGAAACCGUAUGCUAGGAUCUGGGUCAUUGCUAUGAGUUAUCAAGGGAGGCUAUGAAAUAGUCUGUUGAUGUUUAAAGAGGAGCACAGGUUCUGUUGUGAGUUAUUUACACGUGGCUGUGACUGAAGUUUCUGGGGUGGGGAGGCCAUGGACCAGCCUCUAGAACAGUUUUGGAUGGGAGAAUGGAUGAAUGGACUGGACAGCGUCUCAGGGUCACAAGUUAGGCGUGUUUAUGAGGCCAGAGAUCUUAAAUCCAAGAAUGUAUGAAGGGAGAAUGACUAUGGGAAUGACCAUGGAGGGCAGGUGACAGGGACCAGAAGAUUGGAGAGAAGGGAGAAUACAGGCAGCUGGAAAAGAGAAUUUUAGAGUGAAAAACCAACACACAAAUUUAAUGCCCUGAGUGAACUAUUUAGUGGUGAAAUUUGCAGGACCCCCUCCCCCCCCACCAAAUUGGCAGAUCUUAAAAUAAUCAAGACGCUGAUGCAUAGUUACGAGAACAAAUAUAAGGCAGAAAAAUCCUCCCAGUUCUUUGGUGAGGUCAUUUCAUGCCAUGCAGUCCUGAGUAUUUCUGUCUUUGCUGUUGCCUCAUGGCCAUUCUGGAACCAGAGUCCGUGAUAUUGGGAGAAUAGUAAAAGCACUCCAUCAAUGGACCCAGUCGAAUCCCUGUUUCCUGUGUUACUUACUGGCGAACUUCUUGGCUGGCCAGGCCAAAGGGUAUUGAGAUGUGUCCUGAGACUCUUUCAGUCUUUCUCUCCCUAAUUAUGUCUAAUAGGAUGAUAUAAUACUGGGAAGUUUCCCCUGUACGUCCCCAACUAUUCCUCUCUUUUGAAACUUGUCAAAAAAAAUUAAAUCUCACAGCUUUAAAGAAAAUGAGUUUGGCCCAUAACCUUGUCUUAGACAGCGGUGGAAGUGACAUUCCAUUUAACCAGUACUCUGCUCAAACAUCUGUGCAGCGGGAGAGACCGCGGGACUGGCUGUGUUCAGGUUUCCUGGGUCUUCAGCUCGUGUUUUCCUCACCUCCCGAUUGCUGCUCAAUUUGAGGUUGAGAAUAUUCUUGAAUGACGUGCCUCCAAAGUGCUCUUUUUAGCUUAAAAUGAAAUGAAGGCUUUCCUGUCUCUUGUUCCCUAUUUUCUAAUAACAUGUGAUUUUGUUUCAUUAUUUGCAGUAAUAUAUGGCUACUAGAGUAAUCAUGGAUGCAUAGUGUCUGAAGUUAAUGCUGAGGACACCUAAGCCAUCUCAAGCAAAUGAGUUAACAGUCUGUCUUUAAGAACCCGCAGGAAGAAAGCAACCCAAACAAACUGGUAACCUGUGUUUUAUUUAGGCCGUUGCUGUUUGUCACCGGCAUGUCCUUUUCUCGGAGACCGGACCUUUCAUUUUGUUUGGCUCUUCCAGCUUAUGCAGGGAAUGAGCAUCUUCAGUGUGUUAGUCACGUUUCAGUCUCAUUUGUUACGAUGAGAGAUACCUGUCUUUUGCCUAGAAAGCGAACACGUGUCUGCCUGCGUUCGAACUUUCGGGACAUGCCUGUAGUGAUGUAUCAUGCGUCCAGUGCUGUGGUUUCCAUCAGUGCAAUCUUAGCGUUCUGAAACAGCUGAGACAGCCCUAAGAAAAUAGCUGUCACAAGGCUCCCGAACCUGACUCCGCCAGACAAGAAUAAAGCCAUUCCCUCCCUCCCUUUUCAGGAUGAUAGUUAUUUGGUUCUCCAUGGUGACUUCCUUUUUUGCCACAUUAUUAGUACAGAGUGGAGGAGUUAGGUGAGCAGCUGUGGGCAGCAGGUUAGAAGUGGGGGGCACGUGGAAGCAGGCGCAGGAGAUGUGGCAAGUUCUGCCGACCGCAGGGAGGAAACCAGCCGUGCUAGCUUGUCCCUCGUGACCUUCCCAGGGAAUCAGGUGAGAAGCAGGGCAAGCCUCACACACCUGGCUGUCUUUGAGAGCCUUGGACACCCGUCCGGUAGGGAAAACACUGAGUGAAAAACCAUUUGGGGGGGGCAGGCAUUUUGAGGGAUAUCUUCCAUACCCCCCAAAACCUUGGGAAAGCAGAACGGGGAGCCAGGGUUGAGGGUCGGUGGGAGACUUCUGAGUCGACGGCCAGAUACUGUGCUACUUUGUGUUCAUUCUUGACCCACUCGAGAAAUAGCUCUUGGGGUCUAGUCUGUUCACCUGCUGUGUGGCAGGUCGUGCUCUAGGUGCUGGGGCCACGGCAGUGAAUAAAACGCAGGCCCUGCUUUCAUAAGGCUCACCUUCCGGUGAAAUUUAAUCCUAGAGAUUGCAGAAGCACCUGUCCGCAUGCGGGUGGCGGCCUUUAGAGUGGGAACGAAUAGCAGCACAGGGGGAUUCAAGAGCAUUGAACACUUUCAAAAACUGCUUAUUGAUUAAUGAGGCAAUAUAGGAAUAUGUCACAAAAACCAACUCGCGAAGGAACUGUCAGGGUUCUAUUUCCGUAGUCCCAGAGAUGCUCAGCGCGCACCUCUCGUGUCAGCGGACAGCGAGGAAACGUAGCAUUUUUACUGGCAGUGGUUGAAAUGGCAGACGGCAGCCCAGCACCACCUUCGUUUCCUCCAGGCCGGGGCAGGAGUGGCGUAAACACAGAGCGCUCGAUCUGACUCCCUAGAGAGAAAUCAGAUGGUAUUGUAACUCUUUGAAGGCGUCCGCUUCAGAAUCAUCCUGUGUUUAGUGAGCAGGCGCGGUUUGGGACAUGUUGGGUUUGAGAUGUGUUCCAAGGAGCUGACUGGACAUGCCCUUAGACAGACAGUGCAGGAGGGUGACUUGGGCCCAGUAUAUCCAUGUGGGCUUUCAGCGCGAUGUGCUGCUGAAAUGGGGUUCACCGGGUUGCCCAGGGGAGCGUGGGUGCAGAGAAGAGAGGGGUGCUGAAGGGGUUUAAGGAGCGCUGACAUUGGAGGAGUGGAAAGGGAGGCAGCCAGAGAGCCAGAAAAGGAGACGGAAAGCAUGGGAGAGCUCCACAGAAGCCAUGGAGGAACGAGGGUUUUGGAGAGAAGACACGCAUAGCUGUGGCAGGCUCAGAGGAAUGGUCGGGUAAGAGUAGGUAGCCAACGUCUUGCCAUUUGGUCACGGAAGACCUUUGGGAGAAUAGUCAGGAGGAGCUGAGCUGCCACAGGCUGCACAGCGAAUAGGAAAUGAGAAAGAAGCUUCCAGACAGCAGGAGGAGGAGUGGGGUGUUUCUUUGUUUUUGUUUUUAAAUUUUUUUUUAAUGUUUAUUUAUUUUUGAGAGAGAGGGAGCGACAGAGUGUGAGCAGGGGAAGGGCAGAGAGAGAGGGAGACACAGAAUCCGAAGCAGGCUCCAGGCUCUGAGCUGUCAGCACAGAGCCCCAUGUGGGGCUUGAACCCACAAACUGUGAGAUCAUGACCUGAGUCGAAGUCGGAUGCUUAAGCCACUGAGCCACCCACGUGCGCCUAGAGUCACAUUUUAUAAAGCUUGUUUAGAAAUGUUUCCAGAAAAUAAAAAUAAGUUUUGUAAUAUAUCAAUAUAUUUUGGGUGCUUUCGAUACCUUUAGUAAACUGGAUUGUAAACAUGAAGUAGUGAGUCAGCUGGUCUCAUAAAGACAUCUGUGCGUGUCUGGAGAGGCUUCUUGAAGCAGAGAUGAUUGCAUUUGGGGAAUUACCUUUGGUUAUUGCCACUUCUGUGCCAGUAAUCUUAGGCUGAGCUAGUGGUCAGUAGGAGUACAAGUUGUUGUUACACAUUUUUGCAUUAUCCUCUCUGAAAACUUCGGUUUGGGAGCUGGUAUUCAGAAUUAGCCACUAAAAGUUCUGAAACUGUUUGCUCUGUGUGUAAGUUAUUCUUUGGUGGUAACCUUGUUAGGCACGUAUGUAUGAAACCCUUUUUUCUUUUUAAAAAUUUUUUCAUUUUUCAUUUUUUUAAAUUUAAAUCCAAGUUAGUUAACAUGUAGUGUAAUAAUGACUUCAGGAAUAGAAUUUAGUGAUUCAUCACUUACAUACAACACCCAGGGCUCAGCCCACCAAGUGCCUUCCUUAAUACCCGUCACCCAUUUAGCCCAUCCCCCCAUCCAACACCCCACCAGCAACCCUCAGUUUGUUUUCUGUGUUUAAGAGUCUCUUAUGGUUUGUCUCCCUCUCUGUUUUUAUAUGUUUGUUUCUGUUCCCUUAUGUUCAUCUGUUUUGUAUCUUAAAUUCCACAGAUGAGUGAAAUCAUAGAUUUGUCUCUCUGACUUAUUUUGCUGAGCAUAAUACAUUCUAGUUCUAUCCAUGUUAUUGCAUAUGGCAAGAUUUCAUUCUUUUUUGAUCUCCAAGUAAUAUUCCAUCGAUUUUGUGUGUGUGUGUGUGUGUGUGUGUGUGUGUGUGUCCAUUUAUCUGUCGAUGGACACUUGGGCUCUUUCCAUACUUUGGCUAUUGUCGGUAGCACUUCUGUAAACAUUGGGGUGCAUGUGCCCCUUUGAAUCAGCGCUUCUGUAUCCUUUGGAUAAAUACCUGGUAGUGCAAUUGCUGGGCCACAGGGUAGUUCUCUUUGUAAUUUUUUAAGGAACCUCCAUACUGUUUUCCAGAGUGACUGCACCAGUUUGCAUUCCCACCAACAGUGCAAAAGGGUUCCUCUUUCUCCGCUUCCUUGCCAAAAUCUGUUGUCGCCCGAGUUGUUCAUUUUAGCCAUUCUGACAGGUGUGAGGUGGUAUCUCACUGUGGUUUUGAUUUGUAUUUCCCUGAUGAUGAGGGAUGUGGAGCAUUUUUUCCUGUGUCAUGAAACCAUUCUUUAAUGACAACUUGCUACAUGUACCUCGAAGGAAAAUCACCUGUUUUUCCACUGUACUGAAAUACUAAGUUUUUAGUAAUGAGAAGUUUUGAAUAAUUUAUCGAACAGUUACUAGGUGUCAAGCAGAGCUAAGAACCGUAUAACCUUACGUAUGAAGUAGGUACUGCGAUUAUACCCAUUUUACAGAUGAGUGAAUGAAGGCACAGCCUCGAUAAGCCUGAGCGACAUAGCUAGGAAGUGGCAUAGACUCUGUGUGCACCCAGGCGUUCUGACGCCCCUGCCUUCUCAGAUAUUACGCUGUAUUUCCUCUCAACAGUGCCCGGUGUGAGCGGAGUUAGAUGAGUGGUCUGCAUUUCCUUUGUGGAAGCUGUCAUUGUAAUCAUGUUGUGUUUUGUUUUUUUCUUGCUUGCUUCCAUUCGCAUCAUUUGCUAUUCUGUGAGGACAUUGGAAAAGUUGCUGAAGAAAGAUAUCCCCUUCCCGUGGCCGGGUUGUCAUUUGGUUAGACACGGAAGAUAGAAUCUUCCAAGAAGCCACACGGUGUGUGUACACCCGUCAGCCUCAGGGGAGCGGGAGGAAGCGUCCUUUCCUUCUUCUGUCUGUCCUAGGAGAUGUGGCCCUAAGGCGAGCACCGGGACGCCCCUUCUCAGGACGCACGUCUCUGUUACACGUGUCCCUUCUGCCCCACCUGUUAGGAAGCCGGUUUGAAUGAGAUGCAUUUCUGUUUCGACGGGAACGUGAAGGGGAUCUUUUUAGUACUUUCGGUUUACUUUUUAUUACUGUUCCACUUUCCUAAAGGGGAAAACUCAGCAUCCUGAUACAUAACGUGACCGAAGAAUGUUUUCCCAGCAGAAAGCUUUUUUAGCGUUAAAUGGCCCUCUGCCCCCGCUCUAGCCAGUGCGGUAGCCGUUCGCCACAUGUGGCUAGUUAAGAUGAAUUACAGUUAGAUAAAAUGAAAGACGCGCUCGGGCCGUGUACUGGCCACAUGUUAAGUGCCCGAAAGCACACCUGCGGCCCAGGAUGGAACGUUCCACGGCUGCGGAAAGCGUUAGUGGGCAGUGCUGCUCUCGGCACUGGGCGCAUCGUGUGGUUUUUAGCACGACCGAAACAUAGGAUUACUGGGCGCUGCCCUCGGCGAGCGCACGGCGGGAGCUGCUCGCGAGUUCGGGUGGCCGUACGCAGGACACGGCCUCGGUCUGGAAAGUAGUCCGCGUUGGCCGCAGUGGCCGCAGUACAGAGGUGUGCCGUACCGAUCCCAAAUGAAAAAUGCACGGCCAAAGCCAGUAACGGCCUGUCGCGAGAAAGGAUUUCUUUCUCCGUCUUGGAGUGUUCUGUCCAGGCUCUUCUGCCGUCGUCACCUGAGGAUUGUAGGAGCAGAGCGGGCAGCCGUGUGGCCGGCUGGUUUUCGUAGGCGGGAACUGAGCAUGUGGAAGGCUGUCUUCCUUGCUUUUGUUUUAUGUCCACCGGAAACGAUCGCCAGACUGGGUAGUGGGGGCUUUUUUGUUUUUGUUUUUGUUUGUCCUUCUGAAACGUUUGAAGGCAAGUCCUGGAUUGCUGUCUGUGCCACAGUUUGAACUUUAACCAGUGGCUUGGUAGCUGGAAUAGGUUAUGCAUUUUGCCUGGAAAAAAAUCGAACUGCUUUCUGAAGGUUGACUAAAAUGUUUUAACUCUUCCUAGCAAAUGAGGCGUGAAAGAAAUUGUCAAAAGGAUGGAGACAAAAUUAUUGCAGCACUGAAUGUUUAACUGGCUGGUGAUGUUCUACCGAAGGUGUGAGCCGAGCAGAUAAAUGUGUAAACGGCACCUUUCUCCUUUUCUCCUACCCGAUUUUUCACAGCUUGUCUUCACCGGAGGACCUAAAUCCAUGUCAGAAAAAUCGCAGCCCUUCUGAAAGUGUUAGAUUAUAGUGUCGCUAUGAGGAAUAAUUAAGAAGUACUAUAGGCAAUGGAUUAGGAGAAAUAAACUUCCUGUUUGCAAACAUCUUACUGCACAUCAUCAUUAGAUGAAGCAAAAAUAAAUUUUUAGUGUUUCUGGAAGCUUGAUUAUGUGUAAAGUAUGUCAGUGGUUCUUUAUGCCCACACACUUCUCUGUUCAUUUGCUGUGCAUCGUUCUACUCAGAGUAAUAACCUUUUUAGGAUUUAGGAUUUCAGGGUUUAGUUGUUUGAAUGAUAAUGGCUUGAACUGAAAGAUAAUGAAGUGUUUAAAUCAUGGGCUUUUUACUUCUGAAAUAGCAAAUGUUAAUUGAAGGACCAGCUAGAGAUGUACAAGGUGGCACUUUAUAUUUUGGGCGACUCCUCCUUCACUUUCAUUUUGAGGCUUCUCUUUAGGUUCUUAGCAUUUAAGAUACAGCAAAUAGAAGGUUAUAGCUCUCCCAGCGCACUGGGGCUUUUAAUUUCAAGCAUAGAUCAUAGAAUGGGCAAAAAAGAUGUUCCGUAGAGAGUGUGAGGGGAGAAGUAUUGAAUAAAUAAAGAGAAGGAUGAUGCAUGGGCCUUGGUUUUCUGUGGCUAAGUAGAAGUUAUUUUUUACAUUUGUGAGUAUUUUUAGCAUCUUAUAAGCAAAGGGGUAUAUGAAUACAUGAGUAUGUGUGUUUAUGAGUAUGUGUCUCCUGUAUAUGCGUGUGUACGUAUUUAAUACAAGGGCAAGUAUGGAAAACAGAAGCAUCAUCCUGUCCCACUAAUACAGCGGGUAGUACCUUUGCAUCUUUCUUUCUCCUUGUUACUUCCAAUGGGUAUAUAUGUGAAUAGGACCACUUCUUUCAUCCUUAUUUUACUUACUACUGUAGUGAUAGGUGUAUGCACGUGGUACAAUAAAUUGAUUAUACAGCUUCCAAGCAACCAUGUAUUUUAUUGGACUGACUCCAGUAUGCAGAGAUGAUUGAGGUUGUGUGUGUGUGUGUGUGUGUGUGUGUGUGUGUGUGAGGUUUUUGUACAUUUAUUUAAGCCUUUCAAUGAAGAUUUAAGAGCCAGCAUUUUAUUUAUGGAAUGCAGACUACAUUUGUAAAUUUAUGCAAUAGAAAUGCAUGUAUAUUUCCUGUGAGUUUUCACAUAGAGAGAGGUAAUGGGUCUUGCAAAGAUUGUAGUAGAUGCCACUUGCCUUUUUAAGAGGGAACCUAAGUAUUUUCCUUUCCCCUUCUUUCGAUUGGCUCUGAUCUUAGAGCCAUCUGUCCUGUGUCUGUCUUCCAGCAUCUGUUAUCUUCAUUCCUCUGUGUGCAUCUCUGACUCAGACUUACCUAGACUUUGCUUUUGUUUUUGCAUUUCUUCAUGAUUCCCCGCACCCCCCCCCUUCAAAUGAAUUCUCCUUUUGUUUUCAUGGUGUAGUUUUUGCUUCCUUUUGUCUUUUUAUUCCUUUUCUUUUUCUUGAUCCAGUUCUUUCUGUCCCUCCUCAGCUGCUCACAUACAGCGGAUCAGUUUAAGCUUCAGCCUCCACAUCCUGCCCUUGGUGGGCCAUUCAGACAAAUUUUUUCUUGCGUGUCUUCAUUACCUUUUGCCAGUAUGUUUCAAAAAUUGGGCCUUCAUGUCCCUGUUUUUUUCUCUUCCUAAAACUGUAAAUUUUAAAGAUGAGGCAGGAUUACUAAUUGCCGGUGUUUGUAAAGAGACACGAAAUUAGAGCAGGAGUUUAACAAAUGCAAACAUCUUGCUAAAGUUCUGUCCUUUCCUCACUGACCUUUGCCCGCUUCACUAAUACUUGCUGAUCAUAAGUAUGUAUUUGUUUGCUUACAUUACUUAGGCUGGAAGAAACCUCCCGCAGCUUACCCUGAGUCUAGAUGCUUAUUCUGGAGUCUGGUCUUGGCUCCUUGGAUUUGAAUUGUAAGGCAAAUUUAGCAUAAACACUUAACUUUCACCUGCCUGUUGCUGGGCAGUAUGUUAAGUGAGGGAAAGAGUAGACAGAAUAAUCCAGUGAGUAAGCUAGUCCGUUUGAAUCCCCACCUCUGCCACUUACUAUUUGUGAGGUGGCGAUAAUUAAAGUAACGAAGUGCCAGGUUGUUUUGGGGAUUAAAUGAGAGAGUACAUGUAAAGCCCACAGAAAGUGUUUUCUAAGUGUUGACUGCUCUAUUACCAUUACCGUUAUUGAGGAGACGAGGUUUCCACUUUAUUCAAACACAGUUAGGUGUUGGUUUGCCUAGAGGAAUACUCUGCUCUUAGAGCUCCUACUAGAAAAAAAUGUUUUUUUCAUUCAGAGACCAACUUCGCUUUUAUUUUCUUCCUUUUCCGCAUGUGGAUGGAAGAAAAAAAUAGGAAGAGUUACGUACAAACUUUGAGACCUUGUGAUGUGCUUGUUUUCCAGUGAGAAGGCUCAUUUCUAAUUUAUAUUAUGGUCACUUUGCCUCUGUCACAUUCUCUAAACUAGGUUUAAUGCUGGGCCCGAAUAUCUUAACCACAAACCUUGCUGAGUUUCUACGUCCUUACCAGUAGAAUGGGGACUAAGUGGACUGUCAUGAGGAUAUACUGCCUAGGUCUUCAACAAAUGUCAAACUUACGUACAGUGCAGUUAAACAGACCUUGAAAGCAUGCAAAAAAAAAAAAAAGGGCAUAUUGUUUUCAAAAAGUGCUUUUAGUUUCUGAAGUUGGGACCCUGUGCCUUAAUGUGUCAGUCAGCCAGUUGAAGAACGGGUUCUGGCUUUGACUUAUAUAAUGUCAUCUGCGCUGGCUUGUGGGUGUCCCUGCUCUCUGUUCUUCUAAGAGCACGUUUUACAGAAAAAUACAUUUCACAGGCUUUUUUGCAACCAGAGUUUAAAUGUGGAUCCUUUGAUUUUACUUAGUAAUAAUAACUUUGCAGAUCAUUUCAUAAUUUCCGAAGUGCCUUUCGUACCUGGUUCUCUCCAUCUUGCGAGGUCUGGUUUUGUACCUGCAGAAGCUGAAGCAUGGUUCCUCGGUGAAGGGUGCAGCUUGAAACCAAACUGGGUUUUGUUCUCCAGGUCUGAGCGUUUGCACUGCACACCGUCCCUCCGGUGUGUUACGGUAAUUCUUCAACUUACAGACAUUUUAAUUUAAGCAUUUAGGUCAGGGAUGGGCAGAGUUUUCCUAUGAAGGGCCAGGUAGUCAGUGUUUUAUGCUUCAUGGCCAUUGUCUUAGUUUCAGGAUCUGGACGCUGCUGGUGUGGCAUGAUAGGAGCCAUGGGUGGUGUGUGAAGAAAGGGGGAGGCGGUGUGUGCCCAGAACACCACGGAUGUCAACAUUUGAAUUUCAUGUAAUUUUUGUAUGUUCUGAAAUACCUUCUUCUUUUGAUUUUUGCCCUCGGCUGUUUAAAAAUGUAAAGAGCAUUCUUAGCACACUGGUCCUCCAGAAACAGGUGGUGGACUGGAUUUGGCCUGUAGGCCGUAGUGGGCCUCCCUCCGGUGUAGAUCUUGGUACGGGCGGCGCGGACCUUUUUCGUUUCAGGUUUUAUCCACAUCGUCCACCGUCCCCCCACCGUUGGCCGUCUUUAUUUACACAGCUCUGUCCUCUGGGAUCUUGGUCAAGCAGCAGCCCUUAGCCAGCACGGAGCUGGGAGGAUUUCGGCCUUUUAAACGAGACUGGGGUCCUCAUCCCUUGGGAGUGAAUGGAUCACCCAAGGUUGGCAACCCCAUUAGCAAGAGCAUGCGUGCAUGAAAGCAGGCCUCUGAUUCUCUGGUCAGUAGUCUAUCUUGUUUGAACUGUUUCUGGCUAUGAUUUCAUUGUGUUUUUUCAUGUUCCGGGCACUCUAUUUAAUUUCCUUAUUCCCCUCCCCCCCCAGUUUUGAGUUUUAUUCUGAAAAAAAUUUUUUUAAAUUACAGAAGUGUAGUACAUGAAUAUGUUCUAUAAAAAAAAUGCAAACACUGGCCAAAACAUGUAUAUUGAAUAUUUAAAUUUCUUUUACUGCUUCCACUUCCCAAAAGUAUAUACUCUUAUGUUAAAUGUAUUUUUUCUAACCUACUUUUCCUUUAUUUAUUUAUUUUUUAACUUUUUUUUUUUAACAUUUAUUUAUUUUUGAGACAGAGAGCAUGAACGGGGGAUGGUCAGAGAGAGAGGCAGACACUGAAUCCAAAGCAGGCUCUAGGCUUUGAGAUGUCAGCACAGAGCCCGACGUUGGGCUCGAACUCACGAACUGUGAGAUCAUGACCCGAGCUAAAGAUGGACGCUCAACCGACUGAGCCACCCAGGCGCCCCAUAACCUACUUUUCCUUUAAAAAUAGUGCAUAUGGCGCGCCUGGGUGGCUUAGUCGGUUAAGCGUCCAACUUCGGCUCAGGUCAUGAUCUCGUGGUCUGUGAGUUCGAGCCCUGUGUCGGGCUCUAUGCUGACAGCUCAGAACCUGGAGCCUGCUUCGGAUUCUGUCUCCCUCUCUCUCUGCCUCUCUCCUGCUCACACACUCUCUCUCUCAAAAAUAAGCAAAAAAAUUAAAAAAAAUACACUGGAUAUGAACACAUAAAACUACAUAAACGUAAAUAAUCCAUGUAUAAGAUCAUAUUAUAUACAUUCAAUUGGCCCUUUUACCCCACUGAAGCCUCUUUUGGACAUACCCCAUUGGUCCUGCUUUUUAACUUGGGGUAAUUUUGUGUAUGUGGUGGCAGAGACAUUCUCUUAUUAUUGUCUAAGGAGUCACUGAACAAUUGAAAAAACCUCGAAUUGUCAUUUCUGCGGUGCUCUGCUGAAUCGUUUUUGGAAUGUCAUUGUCUUCUGAGGCAGUUGGCCAAGAGAGUUUGCCUGGAAGGAUCAUGAGCUCUGCAUCACCCCUUUUUCUGACCCCAGCAGAUGCAGUCCUAUGCCUUUUGUGUCCUUGUUUACCUGUGUGCUGUUCAUAAAGUUUCUUAAAAGGAGUGUGAUAUAAAAAGGCUGCCUCUUUGCCAAGAGUGUUACCUUCGAAGCUUUAACCCUGUUGUAUCCCAAAGCUGAAGCAGAGGGAGACAUUUCAAAGUAAUUGAAUUCAGUAAUUGAAAUUUCAGAAGUAACUGAGAGAAGAUGAGAGCAUUUCUUAUUUGGAAGGCAUCUGCUGGAUUUUUUUCCUUAAGUUAUUUCCAUUGUAUGUAGUUAGCGUCAGAAAUAAGAAUGAAGAGAACAGAAAGGACAACAUGCAGUGGGAUAAUGUAGAUCUUUAAAUACUUCAAAAUUCUCUGGGGCGCCUGGGUGGCUCAGUCGGUUAAGCGUCCGACUUCGGCUCAGGUCACGAUCUCGCAGUUCGUGGGUUUGAGCCCCGCGUCGGGCUCUGUGCUGACAGCUCGGAGCCUGGAGCUUGCUUCUGAUUCUGUGUCUCGCUCUCUAUCUCUCACAGUCUGUCUCUCUCUCUCUCAAAAAUAAAUAAAGAAUAAAAAAAAAAAUUAAAUACUUCAGAAUUCUCAUUCCUUUUUAGGUAUAUUACUAAAUAGAUAUCCUUGUCAGAGGGCAGCCAUAACUUUGUAAUUAAAAUCUCUGAGAAAAAUGGAACCUUCAUCGUAUCUUUUGGCAGUCUGUCAUGUGGUGGUCUUGUGAGUGUGGACUCUAGCCAAAAUUGACCUUGAACCAGAAUGGCCCUGGUGCUGAAGUCAAUCAUUGUAGUUCUCUUAUAGUCCCCAUGGUGCAGAUUUUCUUAGAGUCAUUACCUUUUUCCCUUUCAUUCUCUUUUAUACUUGUGUUUCUUUUUCAGUUCAGCUGAAAAUUUAAAAAAAAAAAACAACUGCUUUAAGUACAUGAAGUCUUCAUAAACAACUUUUUCUAAUCUCUGCAAAUAUGGAAAUUGACAAUAAAAACAUCUGUAUUGUUUGUAAGAAGGCUUUAUUCAUUAGUUGGACAAAUUCUUUAUUUGCUGAUCUGGUUUUAAAAUAUAAAUGAUUAUCCUGCCCUCUUUUGCUCCUGUUUUUGUUUGAUGAAAGGAAAGAAACUUAAAAAAAACCCACACAUUUAGAGACACAAAAAUCUUUGAUUAAAAACAGUUAAGUCGGUGCCUGGGUGGCUCAGUUGGUUAAGCCUCUGACUUCAACCCAGGUGAUGAUCUCGUGGUGAGUGAGUUGGAGCCCUCCGUCCCCCCAUUAGGCUCUGCACAGUCAGUGCUUGGGAUUCUCUCUCUCCCUCUCUCUCUGCCCCCCCCCUGCUUGAGUGCUCUCUCCCCCCCCCCCCAAAAUAAAGAAAUAAACUUCAAAAAAAUGUUUUGAAAAAAAAAGGGGUUAAGGAUUUUUGUUUCAUCGACUUUGGGGGAGAAAUCUCUCAGUUGUACAUAGGAGUUCUGUUUCAUCUGUGUGACUCUAAAAUUAAUCAGAGUCACAUGGCUGAGCAAAUCUCUGAAAUAUUACUUUCUGGAGAUUUUUAUUGAUUGUGUCUGAUUUAUUCAAGUGAUAUGCUGUUACUCUAUUAAAAGUAAAACACCAGUAACCUAAUCUAGUAAAGCGUUAACUGUCUUAUUUUUGGCCUCCUUCACACCUCUUAUUCUGCGUAUCAAGUUUGCCCCUUAAAGGCUCAGUGUGUUUUGGCUCAGGACUGAACAGUGUCAUGCUAUGCGUGACCUCCUGAUGUAAAGAAAUGAGCACAUGAGACCCACUGUGAGCCUCUGGUCUUUCUUUGCUUUAUGUGCUUUGCGAAGGACGUGGUUGUUUUACACCCAGGGUGUUAUGGUGGGGUAUUGACAUUUUAGCGAUCCAGAAAAAAAACUGUGUAAAUUCGGCUGCCUCUCUUUUUCAAAGGAAACGUUAUAGUUUUAAUUUUGAAAUCUAGAUGAAACGUAAUCCCUGGAGUGCCCUUGCACUGUUACAGUAUAAUCUUUUCAUACGCUACCUGAUUUAGUUGGAAACAAAUUAGUAACUAUGCAUGCUUAAAGGAAGCAAUUUAAUAAACAGGAUUUUAGAGAAACCUAAUCAGAAUUGUAAAAUGAUACUAGCGAAUCAAUUGCAUUAUACAGAAUUACUAGGUUAGAUGUAGCCUCUAGAUAAGUGUGAACAAAUCUGAGGCUUCUGCGCCACCAUUGCGAAGAGCAUUUACAAAUUUGCUUUUCUCACUAAAAAAAAAUGGGGAAGGAAACUCCCUUCUCUCUGAAGUUCACUGGCUCAUUCACCAGUGAUUAGAAAACAGCCCUUUCCCAGCGCUUGGGCCGAAGCCAACCGGAGGAGAGCUGGCUGCAGCUGGGGACGUGGUCUCUCAACUGAGGUUCGGCUCGCCGGGCAAGGCCAGCUGUUUGGCAAUGGGCAUGUGGUCGGGUGGCAUGAAAAAGACGACGAGAUGCAGCCCCACACUUGGGGGCUUAAGUGGUCUUCUGGGAGCCCCGUGUGGCUGGCAGCUGAGGAGUGGGACUCAGGAGCGCGCCGAGGACCCCGCGUGACCCUGGCCCCAUCUCCCAGGCCUCUGGCUGCCCUUCACGUGUGAGGCAGAGGCCCUGGGAAGUCAGCAGCUUUCAUUGUAAAUCACUUUUAUCCCACGUGAGCGUACAUGUGCUAUUAAACAGUGGCCAUGAGUUUUAGUCACCGAUUUCACUUCACAAUUUUGUACACGUUUUCUCAUAUUGGCACCAUUACUAGUAACUUUUUUCCUUUUUUUUGAGCCCAACUUUAGGUUGGCCUUAUGAGCUGACGUUCACUGCUGUAUUUAUUCAGGGCACAUGUAUUGUGCAGAAGAUGCUUGCCCGCUAGCAAGCAGUAUACCGUCUUACGGGGAGGGAAUCGAGGCCUAGGGAAGUCGAGAAGUCGCCUCAUUUCAGGUCCUCUGGCUGGUGGACUACAGUUGGGACUCCUACUCCUGUUCUGUGUGUGCAGUGACGCGAGGGGUGUUUUCCUUUAUCUGUGUGAACUAUCUUGCCAUUUAACUUGGCCUUU